GAACGGAAUUUACAUGAAGCCUAGCGAUUGUAAAUUUAGUGGCGGACGGGUGAGUAACGCGUGGGUAACCUGCCUUGUACUGGGGGACAACAGUUGGAAACGACUGCUAAUACCGCAUAAGCGCACAGCUUCGCAUGAAGCAGUGUGAAAAACUCCGGUGGUACAAGAUGGACCCGCGUCUGAUUAGCUGGUUGGUGAGGUAACGGCCCACCAAGGCGACGAUCAGUAGCCGGCCUGAGAGGGUGAACGGCCACAUUGGGACUGAGACACGGCCCAAACUCCUACGGGAGGCAGCAGUGGGGAAUAUUGCACAAUGGGGGAAACCCUGAUGCAGCAACGCCGCGUGAGUGAAGAAGUAUUUCGGUAUGUAAAGCUCUAUCAGCAGGAAAGAAAAUGACGGUACCUGACUAAGAAGCCCCGGCUAACUACGUGCCAGCAGCCGCGGUAAUACGUAGGGGGCAAGCGUUAUCCGGAUUUACUGGGUGUAAAGGGAGCGUAGACGGUUUUGCAAGUCUGAAGUGAAAGCCCGGGGCUUAACCCCGGGACUGCUUUGGAAACUGUAGGACUAGAGUGCAGGAGAGGUAAGUGGAAUUCCUAGUGUAGCGGUGAAAUGCGUAGAUAUUAGGAGGAACACC
rnacentral:rRNA from 1 species